AACGAACGCUGGCGGCAGGCUUAACACAUGCAAGUCGAACGCAUCCUUCGGGGUGAGUGGCAGACGGGUGAGUAACGCGUGGGAACGUGCCCUUCAGUUCGGGAUAACCCAGGGAAACUUGGGCUAAUACCGGAUACGUGCGAGAGCAGAAAGAUUUAUCGCUGAAGGAUCGGCCCGCGUCUGAUUAGCUAGUUGGUGGGGUAAUGGCCCACCAAGGCGACGAUCAGUAGCUGGUCUGAGAGGAUGAUCAGCCACACUGGGACUGAGACACGGCCCAGACUCCUACGGGAGGCAGCAGUGGGGAAUUUUGGACAAUGGGCGAAAGCCUGAUCCAGCCAUGCCGCGUGCAGGAUGAGGGCCUUAGGGUUGUAAAAUCCUUUCGUCGGGGACGAUAAUGACGGUACCCGAAGAAGAAGCUCCGGCUAACUUCGUGCCAGCCGCCGCGGUAAUAC
rnacentral:rRNA from 1 species